UACGUAGGGCGCAAGCGUUAUCCGGAAUUAUUGGGCGUAAAGAGCUCGUAGGCGGUUUGCCGCGUCUGCCGUGAAAGUCCGGGGCUCAACUCCGGAUCUGCGGUGGGUACGGGCAGACUAGAGUGAUGUAGGGGAGACUGGAAUUCCUGGUGUAGCGGUGAAAUGCGCAGAUAUCAGGAGGAACACCGGUGGCGAAGGCGGGUCUCUGGGCAAUAACUGACGCUGAGGAGCGAAAGCGUGGGGAGCGAACAGG
rnacentral:rRNA from 1 species